rnacentral:rRNA from 1 species
GAUGAACGCUGGCGGCGUGCCUAAUACAUGCAAGUCGAGCGAAUGGAUUAAGAGCUUGCUCUUAUGAAGUUAGCGGCGGACGGGUGAGUAACACGUGGGUAACCUGCCCAUAAGACUGGGAUAACUCCGGGAAACCGGGGCUAAUACCGGAUAAUAUUUUGAACUGCAUGGUUCAAAAUUGAAAGGCGGCUUCGGCUGUCACUUAUGGAUGGACCCGCGUCGCAUUAGCUAGUUGGUGAGGUAACGGCUCACCAAGGCAACGAUGCGUAGCCGACCUGAGAGGGUGAUCGGCCACACUGGGACUGAGAAACGGCCCAGACUCCUACGGGAGGAAGCAGUAGGGAAUCUUCCGCAAUGGACGAAAGUCUGACGGAGCAACGCCGCGUGAGUGAUGAAGGCUUUCGGGUCGUAAAACUCUGUUGUUAGGGAAGAACAAGUGCUAGUUGAAUAAGCUGGCACCUUGACGGUACCUAACCAGAAAGCCACGGCUAACUACGUGCCAGCCGCCGCUGUAA